UUAUAUAUUUAAAAUAUAGACUUUCUGACUUUCAAUAAAACACGUUUGAAUAAAAACCUCUGGCGGGGACUCUCCUCAUAUCGGAGCGCCCUAUUUUCAUAGAACGGCCCCGCCAAAGAUAACCAUAACAGUUCACAAAAGGUGUGGGAUGGAAUUAGGGUCUUGCGACCCAAUUCGUUAAUGAUCCUUCCGCAGGUUCACCUACGGAAA
rnacentral:misc_RNA from 1 species